rnacentral:rRNA from 1 species
GUUGAACGCUGGCGGCAGGCUUAACACAUGCAAGUCGAGCGGGGGAAGGUAGCUUGCUACCGGACCUAGCGGCGGACGGGUGAGUAAUGCUUAGGAAUCUGCCUAUUAGUGGGGGACAACAUCUCGAAAGGGAUGCUAAUACCGCAUACGUCCUACGGGAGAAAGCAGGGGAUCUUCGGACCUUGCGCUAAUAGAUGAGCCUAAGUCAGAUUAGCUAGUUGGUGGGGUAAAGGCCUACCAAGGCGACGAUCUGUAGCGGGUCUGAGAGGAGGAUCCGCCACACUGGGACUGAGACACGGCCCAGACUCCUACGGGAGGCAGCAGUGGGGAAUAUUGGACAAUGGGGGGAACCCUGAUCCAGCCAUGCCGCGUGUGUGAAGAAGGCCUUAUGGUUGUAAAGCACUUUAAGCGAGGAGGAGGCUACUUUAGUUAAUACCUAGAGAUAGUGGACGUUACUCGCAGAAUAAGCACCGGCUAACUCUGUGCCAGCAGCCGCCGUAA